rnacentral:lncRNA from 1 species
UACAAACACAAGCAUUUGACAGAAUACAAAAUCUUAGUUCAUCUAUACCUACAAAAGCACUUCUCAACCUCUAAUCUCUCCAACAUGGUGUUUUCCAAACGAUGUGCAUGUUUGGACUUAUGAUUUUCAUCAUCUCUGCUACAAACGCUCUUGUUGGAAGAGAAUCAUGUCAUGUCUCUCACAAUUGUAUCAAUUUAUGAACCUUCAUUUGCUCAGAUAAAACCUCCAAACUUGUAGAUGUGAGCAAUAUCUUGCAACCAUUAUGAUCUUCACCAAAGGGGGGGAUACCAAUCUCACCUAAAUCGAGUCUCCCACGAAGAUCAUACAGUACAACUAGGACUGUUUGCAGCUCUUUCAUCUUAGCACACAAAAGAUGAGCUCUUUCUGCAGUUGCCAUUCUUUUUCUAUUACCAAAAAACAUGCAACAAGUUGAUUCAGCUGGAUCCGUCUUAUCAUCAAAAUCUAUUGCAUCACCAAUUAGUGUUUGAAUCUUUGUAAUGUCUGGCUUCUUUGUCACAGUUGCUGUGACAAUCUUUUGGAAUAAUUGAUCU